UUAAGCGACUAAGCGUACACGGUGGAUGCCCUGGCAGUCAGAGGCGAUGAAGGACGUGCUAAUCUGCGAAAAGCGUCGGUAAGGUGAUAUGAACCGUUACAGCCGGCGAUGUCCGAAUGGGGAAACCCAGUGUGAUUCGUCACACUAUCGUUAACUGAAUACAUAGGUUAACGAGGCGAACCGGGGGAACUGAAACAUCUAAGUACCCCGAGGAAAAGAAAUCAACCGAGAUUCCCCCAGUAGCGGCGAGCGAACGGGGAGCAGCCCAGAGUCUGAAUCAGCUUGUGUGUUAGUGGAACGGUCUGGAAAGUCCGACGGUACAGGGUGAUAGUCCCGUACACCAAAAUGCACAGGCUGUGAACUCGAAGAGUAGGGCGGGACACGUGGUAUCCUGUCUGAAUAUGGGGGGACCAUCCUCCAAGGCUAAAUACUCCUGACUGACCGAUAGUGAACCAGUACCGUGAGGGAAAGGCGAAAAGAACCCCGGCGAGGGGAGUGAAAAAGAACCUGAAACCGUGUACGUACAAGCAGUGGGAGCACCUUCGGGUGUGACUGCGUACCUUUUGUAUAAUGGGUCAGCGACUUAUAUUCUGUAGCAAGGUUAACCGUAUAGGGGAGCCGCAGGGAAACCGAGUCUUAACUGGGCGUUAAGUUGCAGGGUAUAGACCCGAAACCCGGUGAUCUAGCCAUGGGCAGGUUGAAGGUUGGGUAACACUAACUGGAGGACCGAACCGACUAAUGUUGAAAAAUUAGCGGAUGACUUGUGGCUGGGGGUGAAAGGCCAAUCAAACCGGGAGAUAGCUGGUUCUCCCCGAAAGCUAUUUAGGUAGCGCCUCGUGAAUUCAUCUUCGGGGGUAGAGCACUGUUUCGGCUAGGGGGUCAUCCCGACUUACCAACCCGAUGCAAACUACGAAUACCGAAGAAUGUUAUCACGGGAGACACACGGCGGGUGCUAACGUCCGUCGUGAAGAGGGAAACAACCCAGACCGCCAGCUAAGGUCCCAAAGUCAUGGUUAAGUGGGAAACGAUGUGGGAAGGCACAGACAGCCAGGAUGUUGGCUUAGAAGCAGCCAUCAUUUAAAGAAAGCGUAAUAGCUCACUGGUCGAGUCGGCCUGCGCGGAAGAUGUAACGGGGCUAAACCAUGCACCGAAGCUGCGGCAGCGACACUAUGUGUUGUUGGGUAGGGGAGCGUUCUGUAAGCCUGCGAAGGUGACCUGUGAGGGUUGCUGGAGGUAUCAGAAGUGCGAAUGCUGACAUAAGUAACGAUAAAGCGGGUGAAAAGCCCGCUCGCCGGAAGACCAAGGGUUCCUGUCCAACGUUAAUCGGGGCAGGGUGAGUCGACCCCUAAGGCGAGGCCGAAAGGCGUAGUCGAUGGGAAACAGGUUAAUAUUCCUGUACUUGGUGUUACUGCGAAGGGGGGACGGAGAAGGCUAUGUUAGCCGGGCGACGGUUGUCCCGGUUUAAGCAUGUAGGCUGGUUAUCCAGGCAAAUCCGGAUAAUCAAGGCUGAGGUGUGAUGACGAGGCACUACGGUGCUGAAGUAACAAAUGCCCUGCUUCCAGGAAAAGCCUCUAAGCAUCAGGUAACAUCAAAUCGUACCCCAAACCGACACAGGUGGUCAGGUAGAGAAUACCAAGGCGCUUGAGAGAACUCGGGUGAAGGAACUAGGCAAAAUGGUGCCGUAACUUCGGGAGAAGGCACGCUGGUGUGUAGGUGAAGUCCCUGCGGAUGGAGCUGAGACCAGUCGAAGAUACCAGCUGGCUGCAACUGUUUAUUAAAAACACAGCACUGUGCAAACACGAAAGUGGACGUAUACGGUGUGACGCCUGCCCGGUGCCGGAAGGUUAAUUGAUGGGGUUAUCCGUAAGGAGAAGCUCUUGAUCGAAGCCCCGGUAAACGGCGGCCGUAACUAUAACGGUCCUAAGGUAGCGAAAUUCCUUGUCGGGUAAGUUCCGACCUGCACGAAUGGCGUAAUGAUGGCCAGGCUGUCUCCACCCGAGACUCAGUGAAAUUGAACUCGCUGUGAAGAUGCAGUGUACCCGCGGCAAGACGGAAAGACCCCGUGAACCUUUACUAUAGCUUGACACUGAACAUUGAGCCUUGAUGUGUAGGAUAGGUGGGAGGCUUUGAAGCGUGGACGCCAGUCUGCGUGGAGCCAACCUUGAAAUACCACCCUUUAAUGUUUGAUGUUCUAACGUUGGCCCCUUACCGGGGUUGCGGACAGUGUCUGGUGGGUAGUUUGACUGGGGCGGUCUCCUCCCAAAGCGUAACGGAGGAGCACGAAGGUUAGCUAAUCCUGGUCGGACAUCAGGAGGUUAGUGCAAUGGCAUAAGCUAGCUUGACUGCGAGCGUGACGGCGCGAGCAGGUGCGAAAGCAGGUCAUAGUGAUCCGGUGGUUCUGAAUGGAAGGGCCAUCGCUCAACGGAUAAAAGGUACUCCGGGGAUAACAGGCUGAUACCGCCCAAGAGUUCAUAUCGACGGCGGUGUUUGGCACCUCGAUGUCGGCUCAUCACAUCCUGGGGCUGAAGUAGGUCCCAAGGGUAUGGCUGUUCGCCAUUUAAAGUGGUACGCGAGCUGGGUUUAGAACGUCGUGAGACAGUUCGGUCCCUAUCUGCCGUGGGCGCUGGAGAAUUGAGGGGGGCUGCUCCUAGUACGAGAGGACCGGAGUGGACGCAUCACUGGUGUUCGGGUUGUCAUGCCAAUGGCACUGCCCGGUAGCUAAAUGCGGAAGAGAUAAGUGCUGAAAGCAUCUAAGCACGAAACUUGCCCCGAGAUGAGUUCUCCCUGAGACUUUAAGUCUCCUGAAGGAACGUUAAAGACGAUGACGUUGAUAGGCCGGGUGUGUAAGCGCAGCGAUGCGUUGAGCUAACCGGUACUAAUGAACCGUGAGGCUUAACCUU
rnacentral:rRNA from 1 species